rnacentral:rRNA from 1 species
UACAGAGGGUGCGAGCGUUAAUCGGAAUUACUGGGCGUAAAGCGUGCGUAGGCGGCCUGCUAAGUCGGACGUGAAAUCCCUCGGCUCAACCGGGGAACUGCGUCCGAUACUGGUGGGCUCGAAUCCGGGAGAGGGAUGUGGAAUUCCAGGUGUAGCGGUGAAAUGCGUAGAUAUCUGGAGGAACACCGGUGGCGAAGGCGGCAUCCUGGACCGGUAUUGACGCUGAUGCGCGAAAGCCAGGGGAGCAAACGGG